ensembl:snRNA U6 U6 spliceosomal RNA
GGUGCUCACUUUGGCAACACAUACUAAAAUUGGAACAACACAGAGAAGAUUAGCAUGGCCCCUCUACAAGAAUGACAUGCAAAUUCGUGAAGUAUUCCAUAUUUAU